rnacentral:rRNA from 1 species
UACGAGCUGCUACGGCAGCGAAGUGGGUGAUGUCAUGCUUCCAAGAAAAGCCCUAUACCCGUUAAGGCAUGAUGGCCUGUACCCGAAACCGACACAGGUGGGGUGGUAGAGAAUACCGAGGGGCGCGAGGUAACUCUCUCUAAGGAACUCGGCAAAAUGGCCCCGUAACUUCGGGAGAAGGGGUGCCACCGCAAGGUGGUCGCAGUGAAGAGGCCCAGGCGACUGUUUACCAAAAACACAGGUCUCCGCUAAGUCGCAAGACGAUGUAUGGGGGCUGACGCCUGCCCAGUGCCGGAAGGUUAAGGAAGCUGGUCAGCGUAAGCGAAGCUAGCGACUGAAGCCCCGGUGAACGGCGGCCGUAACGAUAACGGUCCUAAGGUAGCGAAAUUCCUUGUCGGGUAAGUUCCGACCCGCACGAAAGGCGUAACGAUCUGGGCGCUGUCUCGGAGAGAGGCUCGGCGAAAUAGAAUUGUCUGUGAAGAUGCGGACUACGUGCACCCGGACAGAAAGACCCUAUGAAGCUUUACUGUAGCUUGGUAUUGUGCUCGGGCUCGGAAUGCGCAGGAUAGGUGGGAGGCUAUGAACCAUUGCUUGUGGGUGAUGGUGAGCCACUGGUGAGAUACCACUCUUUCCGAGCUAGAGUUCUAACAGCCACCCGUUAUCCGGGGGCUGGACAGUAUCAGGUGGGCAGUUUGACUGGGGCGGUCGCCUCCUAAAAGGUAACGGAGGCGCGCAAAGGUUUGCUCAGGCUGGUUGGAAAUCAGCCGACGAGUGUAAAAGCAGAAGCAAGCUUGACUGUGAGACCUACAAGUCGAACAGGGAGGAAACUCGGCUUUAGUGAUCCGACGGUUCUGCGUGGAAGGGCCGUCGCUCAACGGAUAAAAGUUACUCUAAGGAUAACAGGCUGAUCUCCCCCAAGAGUUCACAUCGACGGGGAGGUUUGGCACCUCGAUGUCGGCUCAUCGCAACCUGGGGCUGAAGUCGGUCCCAAGGGUUGGGCUGUUCGCCCAUUAAAGCGGUACGCGAGCUGGGUUCAGAACGUCGUGAGACAGUUCGGUCCGUAUCCGGUGCAUGCGCAGGAAUAUUGAGAGGAUUUCUCCCUAGUACGAGAGGACCGGGAGGAACGCACCUCUGGUGUACCAGUUAUCGUGCCAACGGUAAACGCUGGGUAGCCAUGUGCGGAGAGGAUAACCGCUGAAAGCAUCUAAGUGGGAAGCCCACCUCAAGAUGAGUAUUCCCAUGGGGUAACCCAGUAAGGUCACGGGAAGAACACCCGUUGAUAGGCUCUACGUGGAAGCGCAGUAAUGUGUGAAGCGGAGGAGUACUAAUAGACCGAGGGCUUGACC